rnacentral:rRNA from 1 species
CGUCCCGCCGGCGACCGGGCGCACGGGUGAGUAACACGUAUGCAACCUGGCCGCCACAGGGGGAUAACCCGCGGAAACGCGGCCUAAUACCCCGUGACGCCACCGGAGGGCAUCCUCCGGUGGCCAAAGGAGCGAUCCGGUGGCGGAUGGGCAUGCGGCGCAUUAGCUAGACGGCGGGGUGACGGCCCACCGUGGCGACGAUGCGUAGGGGUUCUGAGAGGAAGGCCCCCCACACUGGGACUGAGACACGGCCCAGACUCCUACGGAAGGCAGCAG